rnacentral:tRNA from 2 species
GAGAGAGGCUCGCAGCAAUGAAAACUGCUAAUUUUCAUGACCCAAGUUGAACCCUUGGGCUCACUCG